rnacentral:tRNA from 1 species
GCCCUAAUAGUAUAAACCAAUACCCUGGUCUUGUAAACCAGAAAUGAAGUCUACCACUUCUUAGAGCA